rnacentral:siRNA from 1 species
CCAUGGCUGUCUAUUCAGGUCAC